rnacentral:rRNA from 1 species
GUAGAGAAUACCAAGGCGCUUGAGAGAACUCGGGUGAAGGAACUAGGCAAAAUGGUGCCGUAACUUCGGGAGAAGGCACGCUGAUAUGUAGGUGAAGCGACUUGCUCGUGGAGCUGAAAUCAGUCGAAGAUACCAGCUGGCUGCAACUGUUUAUUAAAAACACAGCACUGUGCAAACACGAAAGUGGACGUAUACGGUGUGACGCCUGCCCGGUGCCGGAAGGUUAAUUGAUGGGGUCAGCGCAAGCGAAGCUCUUGAUCGAAGCCCCGGUAAACGGCGGCCGUAACUAUAACGGUCCUAAGGUAGCGAAAUUCCUUGUCGGGUAAGUUCCGACCUGCACGAAUGGCGUAAUGAUGGCCAGGCUGUCUCCACCCGAGACUCAGUGAAAUUGAACUCGCUGUGAAGAUGCAGUGUACCCGCGGCAAGACGGAAAGACCCCGUGAACCUUUACUAUAGCUUGACACUGAACAUUGAGCCUUGAUGUGUAGGAUAGGUGGGAGGCUUUGAAGUGUGGACGCCAGUCUGCAUGGAGCCGACCUUGAAAUACCACCCUUUAAUGUUUGAUGUUCUAACGUGGACCCGUAAUCCGGGUUGCGGACAGUGUCUGGUGGGUAGUUUGACUGGGGCGGUCUCCUCCUAAAGAGUAACGGAGGAGCACGAAGGUUGGCUAAUCCUGGUCGGACAUCAGGAGGUUAGUGCAAUGGCAUAAGCCAGCUUGACUGCGAGCGUGACGGCGCGAGCAGGUGCGAAAGCAGGUCAUAGUGAUCCGGUGGUUCUGAAUGGAAGGGCCAUCGCUCAACGGAUAAAAGGUACUCCGGGGAUAACAGGCUGAUACCGCCCAAGAGUUCAUAUCGACGGCGGUGUUUGGCACCUCGAUGUCGGCUCAUCACAUCCUGGGGCUGAAGUAGGUCCCAAGGGUAUGGCUGUUCGCCAUUUAAAGUGGUACGCGAGCUGGGUUUAGAACGUCGUGAGACAGUUCGGUCCCUAUCUGCCGUGGGCGCUGGAGAACUGAGGGGGGCUGCUCCUAGUACGAGAGGACCGGAGUGGACGCAUCACUGGUGUUCGGGUUGUCAUGCCAAUGGCACUGCCCGGUAGCUAAAUGCGGAAGAGAUAAGUGCUGAAAGCAUCUAAGCACGAAACUUGCCCCGAGAUGAGUUCUCCCUGACUCCUUGAGAGUCCUGAAGGAACGUUGAAGACGACGACGUUGAUAGGCCGGGUGUGUAAGCGCAGCGAUGCGUUGAGCUAACCGGUACUAAUGAACCGUGAGGCUUAACCUU